CGGCGUGCCUAAUACAUGCAAGUCGAGCGAACAGAUAAGGAGCUUGCUCCUUUGACGUUAGCGGCGGACGGGUGAGUAACACGUGGGUAACCUACCUAUAAGACUGGGAUAACUUCGGGAAACCGGAGCUAAUACCGGAUAACAUUUGGAACCGCAUGGUUCUAAAGUGAAAGAUGGUUUUGCUAUCACUUAUAGAUGGACCCGCGCCGUAUUAGCUAGUUGGUAAGGUAACGGCUUACCAAGGCGACGAUACGUAGCCGACCUGAGAGGGUGAUCGGCCACACUGGAACUGAGACACGGUCCAGACUCCUACGGGAGGCAGCAGUAGGGAAUCUUCCGCAAUGGGCGAAAGCCUGACGGAGCAACGCCGCGUGAGUGAUGAAGGGUUUCGGCUCGUAAAACUCUGUUAUUAGGGAAGAACAAACGUGUAAGUAACUGUGCACGUCUUGACGGUACCUAAUCAGAAAGCCACGGCUAACUACGUGCCAGCAGCCGCGGUAAUACGUAGGUGGCAAGCGUUAUCCGGAAUUAUUGGGCGUAAAGCGCGCGUAGGCGGUUUCUUAAGUCUGAUGUGAAAGCCCACGGCUCAACCGUGGAGGGUCAUUGGAAACUGGGAAACUUGAGUGCAGAAGAGGAAAGUGGAAUUCCAUGUGUAGCGGUGAAAUGCGCAGAGAUAUGGAGGAACACCAGUGGCGAAGGCGACUUUCUGGUCUGUAACUGACGCUGAUGUGCGAAAGCGUGGGGAUCAAACAGGAUUAGAUACCCUGGUAGUCCACGCCGUAAACGAUGAGUGCUAAGUGUUAGGGGGUUUCCGCCCCUUAGUGCUGCAGCUAACGCA
rnacentral:rRNA from 1 species